GUUUAUGGCCAUGCUAACCUGCACAAGCCUGAUCUCGUCUGAUCUCGGCAGCUAAGCAGGGUCGGGCCUGGUUAGUACUUGGAUGGGAGACCAUCUAGGAAGACUAGGUGCUGUAGUUG
ensembl:rRNA 5S_rRNA 5S ribosomal RNA